rnacentral:rRNA from 1 species
AUUGAACGCUGGCGGCAGGCCUAACACAUGCAAGUCGAACGAGUGGCGGACGGGUGAGUAAUGUCUGGGAAACUGCACGAUGGAGGGGGAUAACUACUGGAAACGGUAGCUAAUACCGCAUACCAUCGGAUGUGCCCAGAUGGGAUUAGCUUGUAGGGGAGGUAACGGCUCACCUAGGCGACGCACCGUAGCUGGUCUGAGAGGAUGACCAGCAACAUGGGAACUGGUACACGGUCCAGACUCCUACGGGAGGCCGCAGUGGGGAAUAUGUCACAAUGGGCGCAAUCCGGAUGCAGCCUUGCCGCGGGUAUGAAGAAGGCCUUCUGGUGUUAAAGUACUUUCAGCGGGGAGGCGUUACCCGCAGAAUAAGCACCGGCUAACUCCGUGCCAGCAGCCGCGGUAAUUC